AGAGUUUGAUCCUGGCUCAGGACGAACGCUGGCGGCACGCUUAACACAUGCAAGUCGAACGAGAGAAGAGGAGCUUGCUUUUCUGAUCUAGUGGCGGACGGGUGAGUAACACGUGAGCAAUCUGCCUUUCAGAGGGGGAUACCGAUUGGAAACGAUCGUUAAUACCGCAUAACAUAAUUGAACCGCAUGAUUUGAUUAUCAAAGAUUUAUCGCUGAAAGAUGAGCUCGCGUCUGAUUAGCUAGUUGGUAAGGUAACGGCUUACCAAGGCGACGAUCAGUAGCCGGACUGAGAGGUUGAUCGGCCACAUUGGGACUGAGACACGGCCCAGACUCCUACGGGAGGCAGCAGUGGGGAAUAUUGCACAAUGGAGGAAACUCUGAUGCAGCGAUGCCGCGUGAGGGAAGAAGGUUUUAGGAUUGUAAACCUCUGUCUUCAGGGACGAAAAAAGACGGUACCUGAGGAGGAAGCUCCGGCUAACUACGUGCCAGCAGCCGCGGUAAUACGUAGGGAGCGAGCGUUGUCCGGAAUUACUGGGUGUAAAGGGAGCGUAGGCGGGAUCGCAAGUCAGAUGUGAAAACUAUGGGCUUAACCCAUAAACUGCAUUUGAAACUGUGGUUCUUGAGUGAAGUAGAGGUAAGCGGAAUUCCUAGUGUAGCGGUGAGAUGCGUAGAUAUUAGGAGGAACAUCAGUGGCGAAGGCGGCUUACUGGGCUUUAACUGACGCUGAGGCUCGAAAGCGUGGGGAGCAAACAGGAUUAGAUACCCUGGUAGUCCACGCCGUAAACGAUGAUUACUAGGUGUGGGGGGACUGACCCCUUCCGUGCCGCAGCAAACACAAUAAGUAAUCCACCUGGGGAGUACGACCGCAAGGUUGAAACUCAAAGGAAUUGACGGGGGCCCGCACAAGCAGUGGAGUAUGUGGUUUAAUUCGAAGCAACGCGAAGAACCUUACCAGGUCUUGACAUACGAUGCAUAGCUUAGAGAUAAGUGAAGUCCUUCGGGACAUCGAGACAGGUGGUGCAUGGUUGUCGUCAGCUCGUGUCGUGAGAUGUUGGGUUAAGUCCCGCAACGAGCGCAACCCUUAUUGCCAGUUACUACGAAAGAGGACUCUGGCGAGACUGCCGUUGACAAAACGGAGGAAGGUGGGGAUGACGUCAAAUCAUCAUGCCCUUUAUGACCUGGGCUACACACGUACUACAAUGGCGUUUAACAAAGAGAAGCAAGACCGCGAGGUGGAGCAAAACUCAAAAACAACGUCUCAGUUCAGAUUGCAGGCUGCAACUCGCCUGCAUGAAGUCGGAAUUGCUAGUAAUCGCGGAUCAGCAUGCCGCGGUGAAUACGUUCCCGGGCCUUGUACACACCGCCCGUCACACCAUGAGAGCCGGGGGGACCCGAAGUCGGUAGUCUAACCGCAAGGAGGACGCCGCCGAAGGUAAAACUGGUGAUUGGGGUGAAGUC
rnacentral:rRNA from 1 species